rnacentral:rRNA from 1 species
GUGUCAGCAGCCGCGGUAAUACGUAGGGAGCGAGCGUUGUCCGGAUUUAUUGGGCGUAAAGCGCGCGUAGGCGGUUUGGUAAGCCGGGUGUGAAACCCUCGAGCUCAACUCGGGGCGGCCACUCGGAACUGUCAUGACUUGAGUCAGGUAGGGGAACACGGAAUUCCAGGUGUAGCGGUGAAAUGCUUAGAUAUCUGGAGGAACACCAGUGGCGAAGGCGGUGUUCUGGGCCUGUACUGACGCUGAUGCGCGAAAGCGUGGGGAGCGAACAGGAUUAGAUACCCCCGUAGUCC